rnacentral:misc_RNA from 1 species
GUGAAUCAUCGAAUUUUUGAACGCAAAUUGCACUCUCUGGUAUUACGGAGAGUAUGCCUGUUUGAGGGUCAGUUUAAAUAAAAAUCGGUGUGGUUGCUGCCUUUCUUGGUGACGCACCGGAUUUUGGUAGUUCUGCGUUUGGUUAAGUGUAAUAUAAUUUUGCAUGAUUUUUUUCGAAUGUAAUUAAAUGAUUUUUUGUACGUUUGCGAUAUCGAUUACUUGGUGUGGUCAUGCUAAUGAUUCGCGUCUAU